UACGAAGGGGGCUAGCGUUGCUCGGAAUCACUGGGCGUAAAGGGUGCGUAGGCGGGUCUUUAAGUCAGGGGUGAAAUCCUGGAGCUCAACUCCAGAACUGCCUUUGAUACUGGCGACCUUGAGUCCGGGAGAGGGAUGCGGAAUUCCAGGUGUAGCGGUGAAAUGCGUAGAUAUCUGGAGGAACACCGGUGGCGAAGGCGGCAUCCUGGACCGGCAUUGACGCUGAGGAGCGAAAGCCAGGGGAGCAAAGCGGG
rnacentral:rRNA from 1 species